rnacentral:rRNA from 1 species
GACCUCAAAUCAGGUAGGACUACCCGCUGAACUUAAGCAUAUCAAUAAGCGGAGGAAAAGAAACUAACAAGGAUUCCCCUAGUAACUGCGAGUGAAGCGGGAAGAGCUCAAAUUUUGAAUCUGGCGGU